rnacentral:rRNA from 1 species
UACGGGGGGGGGCAAGCGUUGUUCGGAAUUACUGGGCGUAAAGGGCUCGUAGGCGGCCAACUAAGUCAGACGUGAAAUCCCUCGGCUUAACCGGGGGAACUGCGUCUGAUACUGGAUGGCUUGAAUCCGGGAGAGGGAUGCGGAAUUCCAGGUGUAGCGGUGAAAUGCGUAGAUAUCUGGAGGAACACCGGUGGCGAAGGCGCAUCCUGGACCGGCAUUGACGC